rnacentral:piRNA from 1 species
UGUUUAAGAGGCACGUCACCUGACGAUGGGC